rnacentral:rRNA from 1 species
AUUGAACGCUGGCGGCAUGCUUUACACAUGCAAGUCGAACGGUAACAGGCCGCAAGGUGCUGACGAGUGGCGAACGGGUGAGUAAUGCAUCGGAACGUGCCCAGUCGCGGGGGAUAACGCAGCGAAAGCUGCGCCAAUACCGAAUACGAUCCAUGGAUGAAAGCGGGGGACCGUAAGUCCGCGCUCGAUUGGAGCGGCCGAUGUCAGAUUAGGUAUUUGGUGGGGUAAAGGCUCACCAAGCCAACGAUCUGUAGCUGGUCUGAGAGGACGACCAGCCACACUGGGACUGAGACACAGCCCAGACUCCUACGGGAGGCAGCAGUGGGGAAUUUUGGACAAUGGGCGCAAGCCUGAUCCACCAAUGCCGCGUGCAGGAAGAAGGCCUUCGGGUUGUAAACUGCUUUUGUACGGAACGAAACGGUCCUGGUUAAUACCUGGGGCUAAUGACGGUACCGUAAGAAUAAGCACCGGCUAACUACGUGCCAGCCGCCGCAGUAACAC